rnacentral:rRNA from 1 species
CCUACGGGAGGCAGCAGUGGGGAAUAUUGGACAAUGGGCGAAAGCUGAUCCAGCAAUGCCGCGUGAGUGAUGAAGGCCUUAGGGUUGUAAAGCUCUUUUACCCGGGAUGAUAAUGACAGUACCGGGAGAAUAAGCUCCGGCUAACUCCGUGCCAGCAGCCGCGGUAAU